rnacentral:lncRNA from 1 species
CUUUAACUCCAUAAUAACAGACUUCAGUUUGAUUAUGAUUUUAUAUUAUUUGUUUUGAUGUGCUUAAAUUUUUGCCAGUUGUUUUCUGAAUAUUUUCCUUAUAUUCCAGUUUUCUCAUUUGGAUAAUUUACACUUCCACCUGAGGAAUAGGUGUAUUAGUCCAUUCUUGCAUUGCUAUAAAGAACUACCUGAGACUGGGUAAUUUAUAAAGAAAAGAGGUUUAAUUGACUCACAGUUCUCCAGGCUGAACAGAAAGCAUGACUGAGGAAGCCUCAGUAAACUUACAAUUAUGGCAGAAGGUGAAGAGAAAGCAGACACCUCUUAACAUGCUGGAGAAGGAGGAAGAGAGAGAGAAGGGGGAAGUCCUACACUCUUUUAUAAACAACCAGAUCUCAUGAGAAUUCACUCACUAUUACAAGAACAGAAAGGUUCUUGGUUCAUGGUUCAAUCAGCUCCUACCAGGCUCCUCCUCCAACAUUGGGGAUUACAAUUCAACAUGAAAUUUCAGCAGAGACACUGACUCAAAUCAUAUCAGCAGAUGGGAGAAUAUUCUAAAUGAAUUAUUAACCCAGAAGAAUUUAAGAAAAUUUCAUUGCACCCAGGAGAGGAAAAAAAAAGAAUCCAUCCUCCUUCUUGGUGAAGGGGAUAGGAAAUACGACCUGUCUCACUUUGAUCCAUAUUGAAGGCUUCGGAUUUCCUUCAUUCUCCAAGUGAUGCAAAACCAAGAUUCUCACCUAAGUGCUGAAACGACCUCAUAGCACAAAGGGGAGACAGAAAUUUUAAAAGUCUUUGAGGUAUUACACAGCUCUCAGCUCUCUGUGGGCCCUUUAUCCGGAAGGCAGUCUUGGCUCCAAAGCAGGCAACAUUCUUGUAUCUGUGCACUGCAAUUCUAGUCUGCCCCUGUAAGUAAAAACACAUUUAUACUCUUUUUCUUAUAUGGAUAAUUCUUCUCCAAAAGUAUAUAACACCCCAAUUGUUCUUUGGUUCACUUUUAUUUCUGCUCAAUGAGCACAGGAGAGUAACUUAAGAUCACAGUCUCAUUUGUAACCAAAGAAAGGACCUCUCGUCUCACAAGGUCAUGGUAAAGAAAGAACAAGACGAUUAAAUGGAACUUAUUGUAAAAUUAUAUUAUAGUCCAAAAGGGAAAAUAUGGAGUGAUUUAUUAGUAAUCUUCUCACCCAAAGUUUAGAAAAAGCACUUUAGUAUUAGUGGCAAAUACUUUUAUAUUAAAUAUAGCCAUGCAUAUUUUAUGGAAUGUUGUUAUCAGCAGAUUAGAAAAUACAAUAUAAAAACAUGACAAAGAUAUCCAUUCUAAAUUAAUGUGGAAGAAAGAAAUAAAAUGAACUAUUUGAAUAUGACAAGGCAGCCCACAGGGUUUUCUGUGUGACACCUUUAGAAAUCUUCACAAGGAAAAUCAUGGCAAGUUUAAGAGCACUGCAGUGUAAAAAGAAAAAACAAAGACCAGUCACAAAAGAAAAUCGAAGUCAUAUUACACUAACAAUAGCUAAAUAAAGCUAAGUCCAGUGUUUAAAACUUACAAAGCCAUGAGAGAGGCAAGAACUAGCCUCAGUAAAAUACAGAUGCUGCACGUCUGCUGAAAAUUGGAUAGAAGCAUAUUUACUCCACUGUUUUCUGUGGAAUGUACUGAAAACAAUAAAAGUAACAGAACCUACGUUUUUUAAAAUAAUGAAACAUAUAAAAGAUUUUCUUAAAAAGGUCAAAAUAUGAAUAACCCUGUUUUGGAAUAUAAAGUCUCAAUAUUCUGAAGAUGUCAAUAAACUAUUUUUAACUUCAAUGCAUUUAUCAUAAAAUUUUAACAAAUGUGUCACUCUCUUUGUAAGUGAUUCUAGCAUUUCAUCUGGACAACUAAACAGGUGAGAAAAACAAAAAAAAAAUCUAAAAGGGAAGAUGAUUAAGGCAGACAUUACCAGUUGUAAAAUAAAUUUGCAUUAUUAAAAAUUAUAUAAUAUAGGUAAGCACAUUUAUAUAUUCCUAGUUAGGAGUAUAAAUCAAGAUAUUUCAAAAAGUAGAGUCACCAGAUUUUAUGGGAACUUACUGUCUACUAAAGAUGGCAUUCCAGUCAAUGGAGAAAAUAUGAAUUAAUUGUUAUAGUAAUAGAAAAACUGAGUAGCCAGAAAACAAUAUAAAUUUUCUUAGAGCAAAUAUCAUUUGAGCUGGAUGACUGAAUUACAUGUAUAAAGCAAAACAUGAUAAUGUGAAAACAAGCUAACAGAUAAAGUUGCUCCAGAGGUAAAUGGACGUAUCGCUUUGAACAAAAAGUAAAAUCCUGAUUUAUAAAUGUAAUUAAUGUAUCUGUUAAAAUUCUUUGUGUUAUACACAUUAGAAACUUGACUAACCAAAACAAGAUAAUAAUUGGUGAUAAAUAAUUUAAUUGAAGGAAAAGCUAAGAAGGCAAGAGGACAACCUAAAAAUGUUCAGGGUACAUUUACAUGACUCAGCUGCAACAGUUUCCAAAUUUGAUAAUUUAAAUUUCACAAUUUCAGAAGAGAAAAUCUAACGACCCAGUCUCAGUGAAGUGCCUUUGAAUAAAAAGUUCACUGUGGUGGAAAUGGGGUCCUCUGGCUACUGAUAGCGUGUCCCAUUUGCUGAUGUGAUAUCCCUGGACACAUAUGUUUGUAAGCCAGGAUUAGCCUUGGAUUCUAGAACAAGUUUUAAAUAAACAGCAUCACAAUAAAUGUAAUUGAAAAGUCAAAAAACAAAUAUAAAAGAAGGGGGGAACAUUGUACAACACAUAUGAUAAAGACUACAUUUCCACUUUUAAAAGAGAAUAAUAAAAAAUGAAUUAAAAUGGAAAAAAAAAAAAAAAAAAAGGCCGGCGCAGUGACUCACGCCUGUAAUCCCAGCACUUUGGGAGGCCGAGGUGGGUGGAUCACCUAAGGUCAGGAAUUCGAGACCAGCCUGACCAACAUGGUAAACCCCCAUCUCUAUUAAAAAUACAAAAUUAGCCAGGCGUGGUGGCACAGGCCUGUAGUCCUAGCUCCUCAGGAGGCUGAGGCAGGAGAACCGCUUGAACCCGGGAGGCAGAGGUUGCAGUGAGCCGAGAUCGAGCCACUGCACUCCAGCCUGGGUGACAGAGUGAAACCACGUAUCAAAAACAAACAAACAAACAAAAAAACAAAAACAAGCCAUGAGAGAAUGAAUAUCGAAAUCAGUAAGGGUGGAGAUUCUAAAGAGGGCAGCUCAGAUACAGACCUCAGCUCUACUCCAGUGUACCUGUGAACUGGAGCAAGUUUCUUUUCCUCUGGCGUGUUUCCUCACCAGAGGAAUAGGGAUAAAAAUGGCACACAACUCAUGUUUUUUUUGUAGAUUAGAUGAAUCAAUUCAAGCAAAAUAUUUACUUCAGAAUCCAGAAUGGAGCAAGCACUCAAUAAUAGGUUUACUUGUUUUGAUAAAUAUUAUUAUUAACCCCUUAGGAAGGGACAACUUAUUAUGUACAUAAAAGUUUAGAGGUGGCUGGGCGCGGAGGCUCACGCCUGUAAUCCCAGCACUUUGAGAGGCCGAGGUGGGCGGAUCACUUGAGGUCAGGAGUUCAAAACCAGCCUGACCAACAUAGUGAAACCCCGUCUGUACUAAAAAUAGAAAAAAAUUAGCCAGGCUUGGUGGUGGGCACCUGUAAUCCCAGCUACUCGGGACACUGAGGCAGGAGAAUCGCUUGAACCCGGUAGGUGGAGGUUGCAGUGAGUCAAGAUUGCGCCAUUGCACUCUAGCCUGGGUGACAGAGCAAGGAUCCAUCUCAAAGAAAAAAGAAAUGUUUAGAGGUGAAGAAUAUAUACAGUCAGUAAACUUACGGGGAAAAAAACAAAACAAAACAAAACUUCAUUGAUAUUUAAAGUGAUGCAAUUUUAAACAAUUAGAGAAGUCUCAUUCUGCUUAUUAGAUUGCUAAAAAUUAAACAAUACCAACUAUCGCUGAGAGUUUUCAUUUGACCCUAAAUCGCUACAAACUUUUUAAAGGCAAUUAUUAUAAUAAUAACUCCAAAAGUAAGAUGCACGCAAAACCGUAUCAGUGACAGAGAUAUGUUGCCUUAGGAUCAGAAGCACACCCCACCAGCACCCUGGACUACCUGCUCUUUGCUUUGUCAGUAGGCUUACAUUGUGCUUGUCCAAGGCUGCUGUUUUCUGUUUUCUUUUCUUUUUCUUUUUUUUUUUUUUUUUUUUGAGACGAAGUUUCGCUCUUGUUGCCCAGGCUGGAGUGCAAUGGUGUGAUCUCGGCUCACUGCAACCUCGGCCUCCCAGUUCAAGCAAUUCUCCUGCCGAAGCUCCUGGGGCAGGUGGGGGGUGCCUGUGAUGGGCUCCUGAUCUCCCAGGCGGAUCCGAAUAAAUGUCAAAGUUGGCAAGACCAAACCCUAUUAUCAAGUGCUAUUGAAGCCUAGGUAGUAAAUAACGGGCGAUAUCUGCUUGGCUGCAGGUCUCAGCCUUGAACUUCAUUCUAGCUUCACCGAGAAACCUUGAAUUUGUAGGGUUUAGGAUAGUUCCCAUCACUCUUAAAUCACUUAUUUUCCCUUCCAUUUGUCUCAGUGUUUCCUCAUACACUACUUAAAACACAUUGAAGAGACAAAUGGUUAAUACCUCAAAUUUCCAACUUAAUCUAUUUCUAUACAUUCAUCUACAAAUUGAGUCAAAUAAAUAAGGGAAUUUAUAUGUACAGAAUUUUCCUU